AUCGUUUUGUUUCUGUAAAUCAGCGCCAGUGUUUUGUGCCUGCUAGUAAUGAUGUGUGUAGUAAUGUCGGCUAACGCUAGCUAACUAUAUUAUGGACAUAACGUGGCUAUAUUUUGAUGAAACUUGGUCAGUACUUUAUUAUUUUCAAGACUUUUGUCACGUUAAAAUUGAGGAAAAACUUUAGUGUAGCAGUAACGUUAACAGUCGCUCGCGCCCACCUGCCGUCAGUAACAUUUGUCAUCGAGUACUGACUAACGUUAGCAGCUAGCAUGAUGAUGACAGACUGAUCCCGGCGGUUUGGGAGUUUCCUGAGUUUUAUAACUGUUGUUUGUAAGCUCAGGCAGAACAUCAGAACAAGUCUGGAUGUAUAAUUUUAUUUUAAGAUAGUCCUUAAAGACUAUGCUAAUUUUAGCUACCAACAAUAACAGUCUGUGCUUAUCAAAAACAGGAUUAACGUUACCACUCUGUGUCGACAUAUGAUUGGGGAUAUCACCACAGUCAACUAACUUAAUGUUAUUUUAUUUAACACUUGGCACUUUAUAGUCAAUAUUCGUAGCUGUGCUGUUUCCAUGUUUACCAUAGUACCGACUACCCAGAUCAGUCUUGGUUCGCUACAGACAAGAGUGUUUACCUGUCUGAAAAGAUCUUUACACUCAGUUUAUCAUAGUCUGCUAUGAUAGGGAACAUAUUUGCUGGCAUACUCAGUGGCUUACAUUAUUCUUUAAGGUCAUCUUGUACAUAAUAUGUUCAUUUUAAUACUGGGAGCUGUCAUUGUGGGUUAUAGGCCUAUGUUACAGCUUUCACAUGUACUUGGUUGUGCUAAAUUGUUGAAUUUUUAUUUAACAGUUUCCUUCCAGGCAGAUGGUGAUCAAUCCACACAUUCCAUAAUCCCAGCAAUAAAAGAUUUUCAAACAGUUAUCAAAAUGGACCAGAGGUUGUUACUGAGAGUCAUCAUCGCUGAAGAUGAUAUAACAUUGUCAUCACCCACCACAACAUUAGACACUGAGGGCAGCACAGCAGACACUGAGAUCCUGUCGCCUGUAGGAGCAUCACCAUUGCUAAGACAACAGUGACCAGAGUUCUUUGACAUACCCAAUUAGCACUCUUCAUAGAGAGACAGGUGUUUGCUGAGUUUAAUAAAAUCGCCAGUAAGAAUCUUGAGAGAGACUUCUUUGAGGCUCUGGACCAGGAUGCCCCACGGUUCAUUGAACUUUUCAAAACAAAAAAGGGGAACUGUUGGCCAGAAACUCAGGGAGCUGAUGCAGCACAUGAGCUGGAUUACAACAGAGCGAAGUACUGUGACGUUUGUUGUCCUCAAAGGCAUUCCCAUUUUACUCGGUGAUGACUCCAGUGAAUUCUACAAGACCUGCUCUGAUAAAGAGAGAGACGAGGCCCUAGAAUGCAUCACUGUUGGUGUGCUGACAGUUGUCAGUGAAGAUAGUCCUCACAAGGGUCAAAGCUCAGUGGACCUCCAGCCCAUCUCCACUGCCAUCAUUCUGGAGGGAGGUGUUGUCAUGGAUCAUAUUAAAAACUUGCCUCAGGCAGUUUGUCUUUUGUUUGGUCUUUCAUAUGCAUUGCAUUUGGAUUACCCAAAAUGCAUGGCAAAUACACUCAACUUCAUUCAGACUGUGAUGCUUGGACUGGUAAAGAAAAACUUUCCACCAAAACUGUUAACUCUGAAGGACAAUCUUCUGGGUUAGAACAGUAAAGAGCAUCUCAGUAAAGAGUCAUCUGUCAGAUAGCACUUUGUAAGCUUUGCAGCCAUUAAUGUUCUCCUCUUAUCAGAGAAAGUUUGAUGCUUUUUUUCCCAUUUACGUUCUCAAUGGAAAAAAAGAAUAUUCCAUUAAAGUCUACCAUGUUAUGCAGGUAUGCUAAUGGUGGAAAUAGUGCCACGUUGUGUUGCAAUGAGUUGUUAGUUGUUAUUAGAUGAUAAUGUCAGAAAAAAACCUAGCAAGGUUAUCCUGUUUACAUUUGUGUUUUGGGAAAACUUUUAAUGAUGUUUUUAUUUGUGUUGGUUUAAUCCUUGGACUGCUCACUUUGGGACACAAAAGUAUUUGUUGUACUUUCGGUUUUGAUCAGAAAUGCACUGAUUUUGCAUGCACUGAAGUCGUCCUGUAGUUAACAGUUUAAUAUUGGGAGACAUGCAUACAAUUAGCUCACAGAAAUGUUUUUAUGUUAUUUUUUUAAAUAUUUUUCCUUGUCAUUUUAUACAGUUAAAUCAAACCACAACUUUGUUGUUUAGCUGCUGUUUUGUACUUGAAUGUGCAUUUAAUAAAUUUUGUAAUGGAGCUGAAUCAAACCAGUGAGUGUUCUUUUAAAUUAUAUGUUUGUGUUGUGUUUGCCUUUAUCACAUAGUAACAGCAAAAAUAGAUAAAUGGGGAAGAGAAAAGGCCACAUGUUGCAGCUGCCCAGGUUUGGGUCCAACAAGGACCCAUUAAAGGAAAUUGGUUUCUUUAAUUUAAGUGAAAAAUGAGUGAGCAGAACUGAUAGUGUUAAGUUGUAGGUAUUUAGUAAUUCUAAGUGGGGUUAAAUUUAUAUCAAGCAAUCAACACAAAAUAAAAAAAUUAA